rfam:Triticum aestivum genome assembly, contig: Triticum_aestivum_CS42_TGACv1_scaffold_556692_7AL
GUACUACUCCCUCCAUCCGAAAAUACUUGUCCUCCAAAUGAUUGUAUCUGGACUUAUUUUAAUUAUAAAUACAUUCAUUUUAUCCAUUUCGAGGACAAGUAUUUCCGGACGGAGGAGUACUAC